rnacentral:rRNA from 1 species
GAUGAACGCUGGCGGCGUGCCUAAUACAUGCAAGUCGAGCGAACGGACGAGAAGCUUGCUUCUCUGAUGUUAGCGGCGGACGGGUGAGUAACACGUGGAUAACCUACCUAUAAGACUGGGAUAACUUCGGGAAACCGAAGCUAAUACCGGAUAAUAUUUUGAACCGCAUGGUUCAAAAGUGAAAGACGGUCUUGCUGUCACUUAUAGAUGGAUCCGCGCUGCAUUAGCUAGUUGGUAAGGUAACGGCUUACCAAGGCAACGAUGCAUAGCCGACCUGAGAGGGUGAUCGGCCACACUGGAACUGAGACACGGUCCAGACCCCUACGGGAGGCAGCAGUAGGGAAUCUUCCGCAAUGGGCGAAAGCCUGACGGAGCAACGCCGCGUGAGUGAUGAAGGUCUUCGGAUCGUAAAACUCUGUUAUUAGGGAAGAACAUAUGUGUAAGUAACUGUGCACAUCUUGACGGUACCUAAUCAGAAAGCCACGGCUAACUACGUG